rnacentral:rRNA from 1 species
CGGGCGGACGGGGGAGUAACGCGUGGGUAACCUACCCUGUACACACGGAUAACAUACCGAAAGGUAUGCUAAUACGGGAUAAUAUAUUUGAGAGGCAUCUCUUGAGUAUCAAAGGUGAGCCAGUACAGGAUGGACCCGCGUCUGAUUAGCUAGUUGGUAAGGUAACGGCUUACCAAGGCGACGAUCAGUAGCCGACCUGAGAGGGUGAUCGGCCACAUUGGAACUGAGACACGGUCCAA